UUCGUCCAGAAGAAAACGAGAGAGGAAGAGGAAAUCGCCCCCACCCGUUCUCCCUCGGCGCAUGCUAGGGUUGAUGCCGCCACUGCCUCGCCCCAUCGGCCCAUGGCCAGGUCCUCCGACGUCGGCCACCGGAGAAGGAAGCAAACUCGACAUCCAAUCGUCCAGACCUUCUCUCGAUCCAGGCAAGUCGCCUCCUUCCUUCCCCUUCCCUCACCCCCCGACCCCUCUCUGCCGCCUCGUGUCCUACCCCUUUCUCUUCUCAAUCUGAAUCCAUGGAGAUAGCCGGCAGGGAGGACGAGUAUGUGUUGGAGGGCGCUGCCGGCGGCGCCAAAAGUAGCUCAACAAGAACCAUCGUCACGCGGAGGCAAGACACUAUCGACACGGAUCCGCUUCGUCUGCGCCGGCAAGGGCCAACCGUUCCAGAUCCGACCAGGUACGAUGCAUCCUACCUUUUCCAACUGCCGAAUACUUCUCUAAAUCAUGGUGGGCACUGCCCAUGGAGGUUCAUAUGAAUCAAUUUACUUUGAGCAGUGCAGUGUCACAAUAGCAGCUCUCCCUUUUUUCCUUGCAUGUUUUAUAAUCUGCAUAUUUUGUUGUAAUGGCUGCAGUAAGGAGUAAGGCAGUAACAGAGUUGAAUCACUCAAUAUAUGCUACCAUAGGGCAUGUAUUAGACUGUUAGUUGAUGCAGGGGAGUUGCAGCAAUAACAGGUGUUCACUUAGAUUCAAAACUCUGAAUUUUACUGAUUCCUGUCUUAGCCCUCUAAUCCCUUGAUAGAUUUGUGCCUAGCCACCUGAACUUUUUCUGGCGAGUUUACUGAUUUGGACAUCAAUUUCGAGCUUUCUUGGGAAUGUUUAGAAGUCUCAAAAUCAGCCUGGGUCACCUGCGCCAGUAAAAACGCAACAAAUAUAACAUUAUGCAGUGAGUUGUUGCUUUUUGAGCAGAAUAUCAAACUAUCAGCUUAAGUUAGCGAGAGCAAUAUAUCAGGCGUUCAAGAGCCUCAUUCACAAGGUAUAGCCGAAUACCAAUCGGUGACAAGCAGAUGUCAAGACGCAAGAUUAAAUGGUGGAUAUAAAAGUAGUUUCAACAGACUGUGCAGAGAGUUCACUUUGCAGAUGGUAAACUGUAGAUAUCCUGCUCCAUCCCCCCUCCGUAAAUUAGAGGGAAGGUUUUUGACAAAGUAGCUCUAGCUUUGAUCUACAAGACCAGGAUCGAUGCCACGCCAAAUGCACAAGGCUGAAUAGAUUACACCACAACUAUGCAAAGAUGUCUUAUAUUCGACCUGGGCCAGUUGCUGCUUGUUAUAAACCAGAGCAUUGAUGUCUGCUUCCAGCUGCUGGGCCAUGGGCUCCUCCAUCUGCUCCGCAAGCUCAUGAUCCGCGAGUUCCUUCUGAAGCUGCGUGAGAGAAACAGAAAUGUAACAUUCACAAUGCAGUGAUUGUUCCUGGUUCUAGAAAAUAUUGCAAGGAAUUUUUGCUACGUAUGAACCAAGAAAUGCGGCAUUUAGAUAUAUUUUGUAUGCUCCCCACCUGGGUUGAACGGAUGCAUCCACCUGUUGUUAUGCACCCUAGCCUGGACUUCUCAAGGGUGAACAUACUGAUGGAUGGAAACCAACCUAAUGAUUGAUGGUGUUAUCAUCAGGAGGCAGUGGACUAGCGGUGGCGUGAUUCAAAACUAUUGCUGAUUCUGCAUUUGAGGAUUUCAUGAAGCCAAGCGAUCCUCUUGUGCUCUGAGGAGCUCUGAUGUAUACAGGCAUCUGGUAUGAUCGCAUGCCUUAAUUCAUACAUAGGAGUUAGUAUUGUAACUAUUAAGUAGCUCAAUAAUCUGUUGGCAAUAAAAUAAGUUGGUAUAUACGAUGGAGAAGUACUGAAUCUCUUAAAGCAUAAAGCCAUAAAAAUCAGCAUGCACUGCCCAAGCACAAAGUAAAAAUGUUCUAAUUUCAAAAGAUUAAUUUAGUUUUGAUAGGGGUGCGUAGGUAUAAACAAUGAACCAUCUUCUCCAAAAAAAAAAACCUGGAUCAUUCUGCAUCCAGUAUAUUGACAUAUUAGUUGCUCUCUUGUUUCUGAACAUUUUUGAACCAGCUGAGAAGUACUCAAAAUCUUAAAGCAUAAAGUCAUGAACAUCCUAGGCACAGAAUAAUCACGCAGUGAAGGUACUUUAUUACAAACCAUGUAUGAUAUGACACCAACACCAAAUCCUUGAAGCAGCCGUCCCAUGUAGAGAAGUGAUGAGUCAUGUGGAUUAAACAUCGAUUAGCAAGCAUGAAGCUCGUAUCGUCGCGAGAAGAGAAAUGGCAGAAAAUAAGCUUGGGAAACAUGUGGGUGCAUCAUGCCAUGCAUUCGUGAAGGAGAUGGCGAGCCAACCGAUGAUGUUCUGAAUCGCCACCAUCGUUAACGACUGAAAAUUCAGUAGGCAUGUCCAUAGUAUAAAAGAUUAAAACUUUAGUGUAGUCAAGAAUUAAUUUGUUGCAACUUGCAAGCAUAUGACAUGAACAAAAUAAUGAACCUUUUCAGAAAAAGUCUUCACCUACACAUUGUCUGCAACACCAAUUUCUCUUCUCUGAUUAUCGUAUCAAAUGCCACACGCAACUAAUUAAAUAACUCAUGAGAUUUGAGACUAAUACAAGCUCAACUCUUAAUUUUCAUUCGGAGGGAGGGAGGGGUCAAGAUUUUCUCACCCCUUUCUGGCCAAUGUGCUCGGCCAUCUGGCCGCUGGCGAUGGCCCCAACCAUGGCGCUGACUUGGACAGCGAGCCGAACGCCAAGAACUGACGUGCAGGCACGAAGUUACUCAACAUCUUUAAUCCAAGAAGAAGUCGAAACAGAGCAAGCAUAUAGGCUCCAGGCACUACCUUCUCAUAGUUUUCAAUUUUUUUAUAAAUUACUUUCAGUUCAAUCUGCUUCUCAUGAUUUCCGCAAUCUUCAAAUUCAACUUGUGUUAGAGGCUUCAGUUCUUACAGCAUAUGAUACUUGCUUGAUCAUCAUGUACAUUGUAUAAACAUAAAGUGAUGCACUGAAUGCACUAUGCUCUUGUCCAUUGUUAUUGUGUUUAUUUCCUAUCAGUUAAGAUAAAUAUAUAACUCUCAAAGUUUUAACUAUGGGUGUUAGAGGAGAUAGAUCGGGCAGAACUACAACCUGAGGUUGUGCAGGUUUACGGAUACGUCUUGCCAAGGUUAUAUUAUUUUAGGUUUUGGCGAAUAAAAAAAAUAUAUAGUAGGUAAAUAAAGCUCAGUUCGCCACUCAAAUAAUUAUGAAUACCAAUGCAGUAAAGGUAUGAUGUACGCUUUCAAAUAACAUUUUAUAGUUCUUUGGUAACAUCACUGAAAACUAUUGAAUUGUGUUCUCUAAUUUAUUAUAGUUAGCUUUCUUUCAUAUUAGGUGUUAAUAGAAAACAUACCCAUGCAUUAAUGGAUUCACAUUUGAAGGGAAACUGCUGAAAAUGAAAGGCGACAUAUUUGAUAGUUUUUUCUCUCAUUAUUCACAAUCCCAACUAGGUUUGGAAGACAAAAUCUGGAGCCUUACUUUGAAUGUCCAAGGAGGUGGAAGCACCAACAAUGCCCUCAACAGAGCUGCUCGAUCAAUUGGAUCUGAAUCCAAGGAUGACAUCCAACAAAAGGUACCCAAUUUCCUUUUAUUGCUUUAACCAUACUAGAGUAGCUGUAUAUGGUGCACUUGGCAGGGAUAUUAUCAAGGAAUUCCAAGAUGAUGGCUGCAUUUUGCACUGAAAUUGGGAGGUGAGGCUCAAAAAGAUACAGCGGUUACCGGCGGCGGCGACAGCGAAGACUAGCCCGGGAUCUGGGACAGUGGAUGCAUUGAGCACGAGGUGAAGAUAAGCCACUCCAUCCAUGGUUACUAUUUUGUUCAUUCUUUUUUUGGAGAUGAUUUCAGUACUCUAUCAAUGUGAUGUUAGAGCCAAGAUGCAUGUGUCACUUGUUUCAUCAAGUGUGUAAUGAACUUUAAAUUUUGUUU